AACGAACGCUGGCGGCAGGCCUAACACAUGCAAGUCGAACGCCCCGCAAGGGGAGUGGCAGACGGGUGAGUAACACGUGGGAACCUUCCCUAUACUACGGAAUAGCCCAGGGAAACUUGGAGUAAUACCGUAUACGCCCGAGAGGGGAAAGAUUUAUCGGUAUAGGAUGGGCCCGCGUAGGAUUAGCUAGUUGGUGAGGUAAUGGCUCACCAAGGCGACGAUCCUUAGCUGGUCUGAGAGGACGACUAGCCACACUGGGACUGAGACACGGCCCAGACUCCUACGUGAGGCAGCAGUGGGGAAUAUUGGACAAUGGGCGCAAGCCUGAUCCAGCCAUGCCGCGUGAGUGAUGAAGGCCUUAGGGUUGUAAAGCUCUUUUGCCGGGGACGAUAAUGACGGUACCCGGAGAAUAAGUCCCGGCUAACUUCGUGCCAGCAGCCGCGGUAA
rnacentral:rRNA from 1 species